GACAGAGGGUGCAAACGUUGUUCGGAAUUACUGGGCGUAAAGCGUGUGUAGGCUGCUCUGCAAGUCGGAUGUGAAAGCCCUGGGCUCAACUCAGGAAUUGCAUUCGAAACUGGUAGGCUCGAGUACGGGAGAGGGGGGUGGAAUUCCUGGUGUAGGGGUGAAAUUCGUUGAUAUCAGGAGGAACACCGGCGGCGAAGGCGGCCCCCUGGCCCGCAACUGACGCUCAUGGUCGAAAGCGUGGGGAGCAAACAGG
rnacentral:rRNA from 1 species